rnacentral:rRNA from 1 species
GAUGAACGCUGGCGGCGUGCCUAAUACAUGCAAGUCGAGCGAACAGACGAGGAGCUUGCUCCUCUGACGUUAGCGGCGGACGGGUGAGUAACACGUGGAUAACCUACCUAUAAGACUGGGAUAACUUCGGGAAACCGGAGCUAAUACCGGAUAAUAUAUUGAACCGCAUGGUUCAAUAGUGAAAGACGGUUUUGCUGUCACUUAUAGAUGGAUCCGCGCCGCAUUAGCUAGUUGGUAAGGUAACGGCUUACCAAGGCAACGAUGCGUAGCCGACCUGAGAGGGUGAUCGGCCACACUGGAACUGAGACACGGGCCAGACUCCUACGGGAGGCAGCAGUAGGGAAUCUUCCGCAAUGGGCGAAAGCCUGACGGAGCAACGCCGCGUGAGUGAUGAAGGUCUUCGGAUCGUAAAACUCUGUUAUUAGGGAAGAACAAAUGUGUAAGUAACUAUGCACGUCUUGACGGUACCUAAUCAGAAAGCCACGGCGAACUACGU